GAACCCUAUUAAUCCACAACUCUUCGCUAUGAGUAGGGUUCGUACCACGAUCCUCAUCGGGUUUCCCAUAAGAAGAUCAGAUCCACAACGAGACUCCAUUUCCUGCUGGCAAACGCCUUGAAAUGUCCGACUGUGUGAAAACGGUGUCACAGGACGGCUCCGGUGACUACCGCACCGUACAGGAGGCCAUCGACGCCGUGCCUCUCAAAAACACGUGUCGCAUUGUGAUUCGUAUAUCUCCCGGCAUCUACCAGCAGCCGGUGUAUGUCCCCAAGACCAAGAACCUCAUCACACUGACGGGUUUGCUUCCGGAGGAGACUGUGCUGACGUGGAACAACACCGCUACCAAAAUCGAGCACCACCAGAAUUCUGAGGUGAUUGGGACUGGGACUUUUGCAUGUGGGAGUACAAUAGUGGAAGGAGAGGACUUCAUUGCUGAGAAUAUCACUUUUGAGAACUCUUCUCCUGAGGGUUCAGGCCAAGCUGUGGCAAUGAGAGUAACAGCGGAUAGGUGUGCCUUCUAUAACUGCAGAUUCCUUGGAUGGCAGGAUACCCUAUACUUACAUCAUGGAAAGCAGUAUUUGAAAGAUUGUUAUAUUGAAGGAAGUGUAGACUUCAUUUUCGGCAAUAGCACAGCUCUUUUGGAGCAUUGUCAUAUCCACUGCAAGUCGGAAGGUUUCAUAACCGCGCACAAAAGAAAUUCAUGCGAGGAGGCAACAGGAUAUGUGUUCCUAAGAUGUGUAAUCACUGGAAAUGGAGGUACUCCAUACGCAUUUCUGGGACGACCAUGGGGACCUUGUGGAAGAGUGGUCUUUGCAUUUACAUAUAUGGAUGCAUGCAUCAAACAUGUAGGCUGGAAUAAUUGGGAUAAAACAGAGAAUGAAGGAAGCGCUUCCUUUAACGAAUACAGGUGUUUCGGACCGGGUAGUUGCCCAGAAAAACGAGUGACAUGGGCUAGACAACUGGGAUGUGAGGAAGCAGACCAUUUCCUCAAUCAUUAUUACAUCGACCCAGACCCGCAAAGGCCUUGGCUUGCUCAGAGAAUGGCCCUAAGAAUACCACAUUCUGCAUAGACGUUUAAAUCAGAACUACAUGGGGAUGACUCCCAACAAAUAAUGAUAGAGAAUAUUUAGACUUCGUUUUAGGAUGAGUGAAUAAAAAAGCACGCAAUUACUGUUUCAGAAUAAGCCUUGUUCAGCAGUACCGCUGAUCAUCUAUGAUCGAUCGAACUCCCUAACAAUAACUGAUGGCUGAGGAAACUCUUUGAGGCAAAUGGUGGUUGAUAACUUCUACAGACCAGAUUUGAAGAAAGCGGCCCUUGCUAGGCUCAGUGUGGUUCACAGGAGUCUCAAGGUGUCAAAAUCUGGUGCCAGGAAGAGGAAUAGGCAGGCUGUUAGAACCUACGGAAUCUCUCACCUCUCACUGAAACCUAAUCCCCAAUUUGUGCAAUUUCCCUCCUCCAUGAGUAUAAUACCAGGAUCAUCAUCCGAUCGAUCUCUCGCAGAAAGAUCAUAUAUGCAACAAGACUACCUUUUUUUGCUGAUUAUUCAAUCCUUUAAUGGAAACCAGGUGAGAAGGUUGACCCCAGCCAUUGAAAAAACCCUCCUCACAGAACACUUGGCUCUGGCACUGAUUCUAAAUUUGAAUUAGCGGGUUCAGAUACUCCUAAUAAAUCUGAACAACCAGGUGAUUUUCUUCCAGAGGGAUAUAUAAUGGUUUGUAAGAGCUGUGGGGUUGAAAAUUGUCGCAGCGGUAUGAACCAUCCUCUUUACAUGACUUGUCCCCUUUAUAAUGAUCAAGGGAAGCACUGGCCUAAUAAUUGCCCUUCAAGAAAACUUCGUGGUCUCCUUGAUACUAUGUUCUUAAAGCAUUUAAAUACGGUUAUUAGUUCUCACUAUAUUAAGGAUAAGAGAUACUACUAUCUAGGCAACUGAAUUAUCAAUGUUUGUACAUGUUACUAUUCAGCUAUGGAUAUGCUCCUCAAGGUUAUCUGUUCAUUAGAUUACCCUAAUGUCAAAAAAUUAAGCUUUUGAUUGUGUAAAUUAAUUUUGAGACUCAACAUCAAGGAUAUAUGUAUGAUUUUCUUUUCACAAAUCAAGCAUAUCGAUUUUUUUUUUGUACAAUAAAUCAAGUUUAGCAUGUUAAGUGUUAUGCUUUGAUUUCAAGUUUCAACUGCCAUAUAAACUUAAUUUUCGUCUUAGUCAUUUAUUUUGAUUGAUAUGGCUUGAAAUCAGAUUACAAACAGUUUCACUUUUGUGCUAUACUCAAGUUUUGCUUUCGCUGUCAUGUUUUAUGCAAUAAUUAGAGAGAAUGGUAUAUUUUCCAGAAACCUUGAAAACUUUAUAUUGAAAAAGUUUACAUUUGAUUGUCAAUUAUUGCUUAGAGCAAUCAAGGAUAUAAUUUUUAAUUAAAGCAUGCUGCCUUGUGUAUUUGAUCAGGAUAUUUAGUGAUGAUCAUAUGUUGAUGGAUACAUUUUUUGUCUUACUGCUCCUAUAUGAUCUUGAAUAUCCUACAUUGGUCUUCGCAUAUAUUGAUAAUCAUUAUAUUAUUUGCUUGUGUAAAAUUUCAAUGAGAGGAAAAUAUAGAAAUAUCUCCCAAAGAUUAAGCCUUGUUAAAUUAUACUGUAAGCAUAGUUGGUGUUUCAUCAAGUCUUGUGCUUGAUUGAGACGAAAUGAACCAACUUUGACCUUAGGUCUCUAGAGUGUCUCAGUGGUACAUGUUGCAGAUAUCAAACUGCCAUUGUGACCCUUCAUUGAUCAUAAAGGUUAUAAGAUCAAAACUUGUGUUUUUGGCAGGAUCAUGACUAUAUCUCCAACAAGAGGAUUGAUUUUACAUGUUCUCAAAUGCAAAACAGCACACCACAAAAUGAAGGAUAACAUAUAAUGAGAACUAAUCUUUUCUUCUUGCCAACAGGUGUUGACUGUGUCAGGGAUAACAUGUUUUCUUUUAUCUUGGUUGUGUGAAUAAGAAACUUCAGAAUGUUAUGUCUUUGUGCCAAUAGGUGUUGCUUGACAUUGUUAAACUUAUGGGGCUUAUGGCAGUACAUCAUUGUUUGUAUAAUCAAUGUUAUUUUCCUAGUACUGGUUAAGAGUUCCCAUUAGACCUGUAAAUGGACCGGAUUUUGAUCCGAAAAUUUUGGAUCAAAAAUUUUGAUCCAUUGAUCCGUU